UCGACAGUGGAUAGGCCUUGCCACCUCUACUUUAUAUAUCAAUUGCCAAUCCCAUCCUCUUAGCUUCACUCACAGCAUAGCAAAGCUUCUUCAUCUUCGAGUACUCGAUCAAGCUGGUUUCUGUGUCUUCUGCUGCCUUAACGAUGCAUCCCGACGAGUUAUGCAGUGACGGCAGAGAAGCUGGGAAUGAUUUGCUUGGGCUUUCCGCUGCAAUGGGCCAAAAGGUCUCAUCUUCAGCAACCUUGAGGAGCAAGAAGGGGAAAUCAUCAACAUCAAUGGCUUUACCGUCAGUUGAGAAGCCAGUCAAGCCGGUCAAACUUCGAGCUUGGCCUCAGUUAGCGCCCGAGUUCGAUGGGCUGAACAGUUUCGAGACCCUGGUAUCACAAUGAAUGCGUGUGUUUUUUCACUCUCAGUCGACGAUGAUUACGUCCUGCCUGUCAUUUUCAUGUAUACAAAAGCUUAUGUUUCACUGGAGUACUGCAUGUGUAAUGUACUAUUCGAAUCGAAUUCUCAGUAAUCCCAGAGUUAGCUCAGAAGAUCGUGUAACUUUUUCA